rnacentral:rRNA from 1 species
CCCGCUGAACUUAAGCAUAUCAAUAAGCCGGAGGA